GGUGCAUAUGAUGUCUAAGCGAUCAAAGUAUGAUGAAGCAUGAUUCCAGCUUUAUACCACUGAUGCACC